GAUGAACGCUAGCGGCAGACUUAAUACAUGCAAGUCGAGGGGCAGCAUGACUGUAGCAAUACAGUUGAUGGCGACCGGCAAACGGGUGCGGAACACGUACAGAACCUUCCUUCGAGCGGGGAAUAGCCCAGAGAAAUUUGGAUUAAUACCCCAUAGUAUUACGGAGUGGCAUCACUUUGUAAUUAAAGAUUUAUCACUUGAAGAUGGCUGUGCGGCUGAUUAGGUAGUUGGCGGGGUAACGGCCCACCAAGCCUGCGAUCAGUAACUGGUGUGAGGGCACGACCAGUCACACGGGCACUGAGACACGGGCCCGACUCCUACGGGAGGCAGCAGUAAGGAAUAUUGGUCAAUGGACGAAAGUCUGAACCAGCCAUGCCGCGUGGAGGAUGAAGGUCCUCUGGAUUGUAAACUUCUUUUAUAUGGGACGAAAAAAGGCUUUUCUAAGUCGUCUGACGGUACCAUAUGAAUAAGCACCGGCUAACUCCGUGCCAGCAGCCGCGGUAAUAC
rnacentral:rRNA from 1 species